rnacentral:rRNA from 2 species
AACACCGACAAGUUGAACGCAUAUUGGACCUCGUACAACAGUACGAGGUACACAUUUUUGAGUGCCUAU